UGACUUCAGAUGCCAAGGAGGAAACCUCUGGCCAAAAGCUUUGCAAUAUUCGGCAAAGAAGGAAAUCUGGAAUUUAGGGAGGGAAAUGUUUCUUUCUGCAUGGAGAUGAGGAGGCUGGGUGUUAGCUUAUGUGCUGGGAGCAGGCGCUGGCCAUGAUUUCAAAGCUUCCCCUCCCCACCCCCCACAGGGUUAGUGGGAUCAUUAGCAGAGACUGCCUCUCACUUGCCCUCCACCCUGGCCUGACCAACCGCCAUUCACUUGCCCUGAUUGGGACAAUAGCAGAGAAAUGAAAGUUUGCAGCGCCAGGCUCCUGGCCUUCCACAGGGACUAAGGCCCCCAAAUCUGCCCCCUCCUUUCCCGGCAGCUCCCUGAAGACCCAGGAGGGAAGGGAAGAAAAGAGGUUGAGGCUUGAUACCUCCCUGGUGAAUCCGAUGUGUGAGUCAUGACGGUGAGUGCGAGCGCUUAGAAAAGAAACAGGGUCAUGGUGAUGCCUGCGAACGUCCCCGGCUGCUGACUGGAGUCUGGGAACCGCCUGCCCAGAUGAAUUCUUGUCCUGGGUGAAUCGAGGACCUGAACUCCUCUGUGGCUGAGAUAAAACAAAUACUUGAGGACCUUACCUUGGGCCAAAUACGAAACUGUUUCCUCAGGCUCCAUCUUCUUUCCUCUGGCCUCGCAUGAUCCAGGCCAGAUCUUACCAAAGCGAGUCUCAUUCAAGCUCCAAAGUUUCUGGGAGGAGGAAGAAGAGGUCAGAGAGGCCAGGCGUCCACUUCCUUUUGAGGAGGAGCCUGCUCCAGCUGCCCUCCAGGGAAGAUGUCCAGCAGAGAAGUUGACCUUCCCUAAGCCACUCUGCUGGCAUUGCCACACUUGCCCCCUGGCGGCCCAGGCUAGGGGAAAUCCCAUGAUGCUCCAGGGCCCCACGCUUCCCGGUGCUUCCCAGAGCCUGCCUGCUGGGAAGUGGAGAGGUGGCCACGGGCGGCCUUUGUUCAUCUGGAGGAGACUUCCGUCUCAGGCUCUUCACCCAGGCCAGACCCUGAGACAGCCGGCCACAGAGCCACAAGGCGACGGACAGACUGACCAAAGGCAAACAAGGCCUAAGAUGGCCACAGACCCUCUUCUCCCCUCAGCAGGCAGAUCCCUAGGAUAUUUGGAAAUUGGUUAAGGGAUUUGGGGGCUCAAGAUUUUGGCUUUUUAAUAUCUCUUGCCUGUCCAUGGAGUGGUCAUCUGUGCCACCCACCUUGUUACUUCAGUCUGUUCCGGGAGAUUGAUGGUCCAGGCUUUGAUUUACGAUCUGUGUCUGGGAUCCUCAAUUUCCCCUGUCUCGUGGGGGACAAUGACAAGUUUUAAUUCAUUACUUUAUUUUUAAGAAAAGUGCUGCUGAAAGUUAUCAUAUACUUCGGGAAG